CUGAACGAAUAACACAGAACACUCUCGAAGCGGGAAUCGAAUUUUCGUGUUUCUUUUGUAGAAAGGAAGGUUAGGAUGCUUAUGUUGUGCUUACCUUUUCAAAUUCUGAGGGCUACCCCAACCCUUGGUGAAAAAUUUCAUAUUAUACGAUUCGUCGGUGAAAGAAAUUUGCGAGUGGUGAAAAAAUAUUAAUUUAUUGGAAUACUUGUACCGACGACUCGAAAGAAUUUGGGUGUUGAGCGCGAGAACAAUCAUGUCGAUGUUUUUAAAGAGCCACCAACAAUGUGGACAUCGUUUGUGAACUGAUUGCAGACCUUCACCGUCACCGGUCACCGCUCAACACAGUUAUCGGAUUCGGAUACUUUAAUCAGGCGAUUGGCACGAUUGUAUCGGAUGAUGUUUUGCGAGUAUAUUGGACACGAAGGUCUGUCUCAGUCUCUCGCAUCUUUAACAGUGUACGAAUACAAUAGGAAUUUCGAUGGAUGAGUUGGUUAAAUAUCGACCAUCGCGAGUCGCAAGAGCUGAAGAGUAUGUUACGAGUUAUCAGUUGGCAGUUGACAAUUGCGUGACGCAACGGAAGCAUGUGCCGCAUCUUUUCAAAAUUGAUACUCAACCAACUCGACCUCCAUCGACCUCGAGGCUCGAGGACUCGAGGGUCGAGGUCGCUGGUCGUGGUCGACCUUACCGCCACAUCAACGCCAGGGGGUCCAAGUUCACGUAUUAAAAGUCACGUAUCAAAAGCGCCGCGUGGGAACAAUUGACCAAACUAAAAUGUAGAGUCUCCAAUUAGAGACGUAAAAAAGCACUAAUUUUUCACAAAACCAGUAAUUUUUCAGCAAGAUUGGUAUCGGUGCGUUGGUUCGCAACGAAUAUUCAGUCUAUAUUAUAGGUACGUUCGGGUAGUUGGCGGUAACAACUUGGUUGCGGCAAAAAUAGAUGGCGUAAAAUACAACUUUAUAUUUUCGGAUGUCUAUACUCUAUACGUACCUAUGUAUCUCGAUGUAUCUAUGGUAUGCGCACGUUUUGUCGAAUAUAGAAAUAGAAAUAGAAAUAGAAAUAUAGUUCUAUACAUAUGUAUAAUUUUGACUAAUUUCCGGUAGAAACAGUGAAUUUUUGUUGUUUACCAGCGGCUCGAUUUCUUGUACGAAACGGUAAUCAGAUAUAUAAAUGUAUAUUGUUGCGAUAACCAGCUGAUAGAAAUUAUGGCCGCCUCCAUGAUUUUCGUGGCAUGUUAGUUUGCGAACGUACUUGUUCGUUGAAAAAAGUUUGAAACAAAUUUUCUACACGAUGCAAACGAUGUAAGAAGAGUCUGUUCGCAAAACAUCGAAACAGCCUGUUUGUUUACGUAGCAGAAAGUAAAACGUUAGAAUCGAUAGAUACGAUACGUAUUCUAACCUGCAAAGGGUAAGAAACAGCGGCAAAUACUUAGUCGACUCGUUCUCGUCGAAUAUAUAUA